rnacentral:rRNA from 1 species
UAUGCACUUUCCAGUACAUCUACUUUGUUACGACUUAUCUCUCCUUAAGGAGAGAGUGACGGGCGAUAUGUACACACUUUAUUGCCUUAUUCAAGUAAUUUUACUUAAAUUACUUUACUAAUAAAUCCACCUUCAACCAGCUUCAAAGCUUAGUAUCCAUAUUUGUAAAGAAAAUUGUAGCUCACCUCCACCUCUAUAUAAACUGCACCUUGACCUGAAGUAAAAAAAUCUUUUAACUUGAAAACAUUCUCUAGAAGUAAUCUGAUAACGGCGGUAUACAAGCUCUACAAACAGAGGAAAGAUAAAACGGGGACUAUCGAUUAAGGGACAAGCUCCUCUAUUUGGAUAAAGUGCCGCCAAAAUCUUUGGGUUUGAAGAACAACUUUUACUACCCUGUCUAAAUAUAACUCAGAAUAACAGGGUAUCUAAUCCUGGUUUUAGAUCAAAGUUUUUUAAUUCCUAUUAAUUUUUAAAGAAGGAGGGACUCUUUAUACUGAUUUCACCCAACAAAAAAGCUAAAAUAACUUCAAAAAUUUAACGUUAACUAAUAUUAACACUCAUUCUAUACGGAUUCUUCGUCUAACCGCGACGGCUGGCACGAUU